ensembl:lncRNA novel transcript
UGAUCAACUAUGGGAGACCCAAAGACCACUCAGUCCUUUUUCCGAUGAAUGGCUGUGUAUGUCACACUAGCAACAAACAGAACCGCAAGAGCUCCUGUGACAAUGCUGAGCCCGAUCACUGCGCCUUGCAGAGCAGAUGCCGUCUGUACCUCCCUCCUGUUAAGAAACCAGAGGGUUUUUAAUUGCCUGAUUAUUAAGAGGCUCUUCUGGCUGCUCCUGGUUUCCUGGGAAGUUUCCCAUCUAGCCGCUAGGUAUCUCUCUCUGCCACCCAGGCCAGAGUUCAGCUGAUGCAGGGCAGGGGAGCCCCCAAGUGGAGCCUAGUGUGUCCGGAACUGGUGGGUUCUUGGUCUCACUGACUUCAAGAAUGAAGCCGUGGACCCUCGCGGAAGUCAGGGACCCCAAAUGGAGGGACUGGCUGGAGCCGCGGCAGAGCAACAUAAAUUGUGAAGAUUUCAUGAACAUUUAUCAGUUCCCAAAUAAUACUUUUAUAAUUUCUUAUGCCUGUCUUUACUUUAAUCUCUUAAUCCUGUUAUAUUUAUUAGCUGAGGAUGUACAUCACCUCAGGACGGCUGUGAUAAUUGUGUUAACUCUAAAAAUUGAUUGUAAAACGUGUUUCAACAAUAUGAAAUCAGUGCACCUUGAAAAAGAAGAGAAUAACAGCGAUUUUUAGGGAACAAGGGAAGACAACCAUAAGGUCUGACUGACUGCAGGGUCGGGCAAAAAGAGCCAUAUGUUUCUUCUUGCAGAGAGUCUAUAAACAGACGUGCAAGUAGGAGAGAUAUCGCUAAGUUCUUUUCCUAGCAAGGAAUAUUAAUGUUAAUACCCUGGGAAAGGAAUGCAUUCCUGGGGAGAGGUCUAUAAAUGGCUGCUCUGGGAAUGUCUGUCUUAUGCUGUUGAGAUAAGGACUGAGAUACGCCCUGGUCUCCUGCAGUACCCAAAGGCUUACUAGGGUGGGGAAAAACUCCGCCCUGGUAAAUCUGUGGUCAGACUGGUUCUCU